UACGGGGGGGGCAAGCGUUGUUCGGAAUUACUGGGCGUAAAGGGCGUGUAGGUGGCCAACUAAGUCCGACGUGAAAUCCCCAGGCUUAACCUGGGAACUGCGUCGGAUACUGGAUGGCUUGAAUUCGGGAGAGGGAUGCAGAAUUCCAGGUGUAGCGGUGAAAUGCGUAGAUAUCAAGAGGAACACCUGAGGUGAAGACGGGUUGCUGGGCUGACACUGACGCUGAGGCGCGAAAGCUAGGGGAGCAAACGGG
rnacentral:rRNA from 1 species